AACGCACAUUGCGCCCCUUGGUAUUCCGAGGGGCACACCUGUUCGGGCGCCGUUUUAGUCCUAAGGCUUUAGCCUCGUGUUGGUCCUUCCCGUCUCCGGGAGCGACAGAAAAACAAGUUCUAAACCAGAAGCAGAACGCAUACGCGAUAGUAUUGGUGGUCUCGCUCUCUUGGCUGGAAACUAAAAACGUCACUAUGGCCUCGGAUCAGGUGGGGAUACCCGCUGAACUUAA
rnacentral:misc_RNA from 1 species